UUUUACAAGGUUUGUUAGAUGUUAAUAUGUAUAGUGGUUCUGGAUAACUUUCACAUCCCUAGUUGUCUAUGGAUUUAUGUGAAGGUGAGGCUUCCGUGGAGGUGAAUGAACGGAACUGUUUUGCAUAUUAACAUCUAACAAACCUUGUAAAAGACAUGUUUUUGUUGUGUGUGUGAACCUUUCUUUGACCGAAAAUAGCAGUAGGGCACACACAACGCAGUAUCAAGGGCCUCAGCCAAAAAAAGAUGAUAAUUAUGAUGACGAUGAAUGAUGCAGUUCACAAAUUCAAAUUUGAAAGUCCAGUUAGAUCAUCCUUAGAAUGAUCAGGCACGUCUCUGCAGAACUCGCAAGUAAUGCUAGAAGGCGUCAAAUGCAAACAGUGGUCAAUUCUUUUUUCCAACCAAGCCAGUCUCCUCUCAAAACUCAAUACCCCAAUAUGCAUAAUUCGGAUAUCAACCUGAGUCACCCUAGCACAAGAGCGAAGCAAAAUGUAAUAAUCUGCAUGGGCAACAUACGUAAAGGCACCAUCAUCUUUCUUCCUUGCAUAAUGAAGGUAAUCAAAUCUCCUGAGGUUGACUCUUGGUGGAAUGUAAUAGAACCUAUUCUCCUCCAUGUCUAAUUUCAACCGUUUAAUGGCCGUGUCUUUGAGUGUCUCUUCUGAAUUUUCACUUCUGCGUUCCAGAUUUUGACCUCCCUCUGAAUUAUUGGAGAAACGAUCAUUAUCAUGACUCUGCUGUGGACUACCAUCAGCAUCGACAGUGCUGGUAUCAGCAGAUGGACAAUCAUACCAUCCUUCUCUAAUUUUCUUCUUUUCUGACUGACUUUUGACACUUUCAUCAUCAUUCCUUGAUCUCUUCUGGUUAAAGCCACUACUACUUUGGACCUCAUGCUCUUCUGCCAGCUCAGAAUCCUUUUCAUUCUGAUAGAAAUCCCAUAACUUUUCUAUUAACUUCUCUUCCUCAAGAUGAUCCAUAUGUGAUGGUCCUGCUCCAGCAAAUACCACAUCCUUACAGUAUUGGAGAUAUGAUGGUAAAUCCUUUGUAAAUUCUAGUGUUUUUGUCUCGGAUUCCAGCAACACUUCAUCGGCCCAGGCAUCCUUAAAAACCCCAGUUCCAGCCAAGUACCUUAACCACACAGUCCCAGCCACCCCACAGAUCAAAGGGCUCGCAUUAAACUUGUCGACCAGAGCCUCACACUGCAACUGAAUCAUCCACUGCAUCCCCAUCACAUACCUAAUCCUCACCUCGUUGUAAUAAUCCUCGUAGCUCAACUUCCUGAUCGCACCCGACCCGAAAUCCUCAGGCUCCAUGGGUCCCAACCCGUCCAUAUACUGAUUGCUAUAAUAGUAAUCAUCGUGCUCCUCUCUCUUGACCUUGACGUUUGUAGCGUUUAUAUCGUCUUCCUCUUGGGUGUAGCGGAACCAGGCUUGGGAAGAUGGGUCGGCUUUGAUGGUGCUGGUGCGCUGGGAAUGGCGGGGGUAGCGGGCGCUGUAGAGGGCACCACCGUCGCCGGCCUUGUCGAUGAAGUCCUCGUCGGCGACGCCGGUCAAGAUGAUGUCGUCGGCCUGGGCACCGCACUCCUGGCAGUAAAAGAAGCCGUCGGAUUCAUCUAGGCCGACGUGGCCGCAUCUUCUGCAUGCCCAUUUUUUGGUUUCUUCUUCUUCGUGUUCCAUUGAU
rnacentral:misc_RNA from 1 species